UUUUUCUUUCUCUUUCUUCUCUCACUUUUUUCUCUCUUUCCCUUCUGCUCUUUUUUCUUCUUCUUACAAAUCGUCCAUGGCUUCACCACAAAUCUUUUUCGUUUUAUUUUGAAAACGCUAAAUCUUGAAUCUAAAACCCCCAAAUAAGAAACAGCUGCAAAGAAAAAAAAAAAAAGGAGAAUUUUUUUUUUACUGAAAUCUAAUCUGAUAGAUCGGGUUUGUUUUUCUAGUUUUGUUUUGGUUUACGUUUUGUGUAAAGAUGAUGAUGAAUAGUUUCAACAGAAACUUUUUUUCUGAUUUUAGUGGUGGUAUUGGUUUACUCAUUUCUGUGAUUUUUUUUUUUAAUUUUGAUUUUAAUUUCAGACAAUUAUACUGAUUUUACUUUUGAUUUCUUAUACGGGUUCCGCUGGUUAGUAAUUUUCUACUGAUUUUUCGUUUUUGGGAUGUUUUGCAGAGAAGAGGAGAAACAAGUAGAAGUUGGUUUUGGUGGUGGUGGUGGUGGUGAUGCGGAAUACUCAACGAUGGGCGGAACAGAGAAGGCUUAUUUGAAGCAGCUUAACACUGUUUAGGAGAGUUUAAUAAAACAUGUAAGGCAGAUGGUACCAGAAGAAACUUGUGUAUCCUUGAGUGCAUUGAGGUUUUGCAGCUUGGCGUUUUAGAUUGAGUCUUGAAACACUUGUGGAGGAUGCAUCAAAUUUGCUGAAUGAAAAAAUUACUGAGCAGUUGUUACAGUCCAAUGACUCUCAAAGGAAAACAACAAAGGAUGCUGGGAGAAUUGCUGGAUUAAAGGUUCUGCGUAGUAUGAAUGAGCCUACUGCUGCUUCUUUGGCCUAUGGGUUUGAGAAGAAAAAUUAUGAAAUUAUCUUAAUUUUUGAUCUUGGUGGUGGUAUCUUUGGCGUUUAAGCUCUCUUAUCUUGGUGUAUCAAACAUAUGUGGUUCAUUCUACUCUCAUACUCUGCAUAUUCUACAGCAGCUGAAUACAAGUGCUAGAAUGAAUAAUAUGGAAGUAGGCAACCACCUGAUGAACACAACAACGAUUCUGAUUUAUUGAGCUUGAAAGUGCCUGUACCUGCAAUAUCUAUGACAAGCAUAUUCGUUGGUGCACGUAGCAAUUACAGAUUCGAUUGAUAAUGGUUACUUUGCUCGUCAGUUGCGGCUAGUCACAACAUGUUGUGCUUUACAUUCUUACUGUGGGGAAAAUAUCCUUACAAGAAAGUCCUUGGCAGAGAUUGUGAUGGCAGAAGAUGUCCUGAAUGAGUUAGAUCAAGCUAAAUGUGGUGUUAUGAUUGGUUCCGCAAUGGGUGUCAUGAAGUUCAAUAACCUUUAUGGAGAUCGUCACUUCGUGAGGGCCAUUGUUGUCAUGACUGCUGGUAAGAUUGAUGUUGUUGCUGGAUACGGAGAUGUUGGUAAGGAAUGCGCUUCUGCUCUCAAGCAAGCUGGUACCCAGGUCAUAAUCAUUGAAAUAUUCUUUUAAAAACCUUGAACUUAUUAUUUAAGGCUGAAUCUUUUUUGUGUUAGUUUGAACCAAAUUCAUAAGUACAAUUUAGUGCAGUGGAAUUGUCAUUUUGUAUGGCAUGAAUCAGGUUUUAGUAAUUGAAUUUCAUUUUAAUUUAAUUUGUCAUUUGAA